GACGAACGCUGGCGGCGUGCUUAACACAUGCAAGUCGAACGGUGAAGGGACCAGCUUGCUGGUUCUGGAUGAGUGGCGAACGGGUGAGUAACACGUGAGUAACCUGCCCCCUUCUUCUGGAUAACCGCAUGAAAGUGUGGCUAAUACGGGAUAUUCUGGGUCUGUCGCAUGGCGGGCCCGGGAAAGGUAUUUCUUCGGUUGGGGAUGGGCUCGCGGCCUAUCAGCUUGUUGGUGGGGUGAUGGCCUACCAAGGCGGUGACGGGUAGCCGGGCUGAGGGGGUGGACGGUCACACUGGGACUGAGACACGGCCCAGACUCCUACGGGAGGCAGCAGUGGGGAAGAUUGCACAAUGGGGGCAAGCCUGAUGCAGCGACGCCGCGUGAGGGAGGGAGGCCUUCGGGUUGUAAACCUCUUUCGCAAGUGAAGCAGGCCUGCUCCUUGUGGGUGGGUUGACGGUAGCUGGAUAAGAAGCGCCGGCUAACUACGUG
rnacentral:rRNA from 1 species